rnacentral:rRNA from 1 species
CCAGACUCCUACGGGAGGCAGCAGUGGGGGAUGUUGCACAAUGGGGGGAACCCUGAUGCAGCGACGCCGCGUGGGUGAAGGAGUGCUUCGGCAUGUAAAGCCCUAUCGGCAGGGAAGAAGCAAGACGGUACCUGACUAAGAAGCCCCGGCUAACUACGUGCCAGCAGCCGCGGGAAUACGUAGGGGGCAAGCGUUAUCCGGAUUUACUGGGUGUAAAGGGAGCGCAGACGGCAGUGCAAGUCUGGAGUGAAAGCCCGGGGCCCAACCCCGGAACUGCUCUGGAAACUGUGCGGCUAGAGUACUGGAGGGGCAGGCGGAAUUCCUAGUGUAGCGGUGAAAUGCGUAGAUAUUAGGAGGAACACCAGUGGCGAAGGCGGCCUGCUGGACAGUAACUGACGUUGAGGCUCGAAAGCGUGGGGAGCAAACAGGAUUAGAUACCCCCGUAU